UACUACAUACAUAUCGUCAAAAAAUUCGAAAUUGAGUGCCUUAUUGAUUACGCUUCACUACUUCAAAUUACAUACAUAAUAUUACAUAUGUUCAACAUGUUCUGGUUCUGCGGUCAAAUAUAAACCAAUUUUAACCAAUAUUAGUGUUUUGUUUCACUCAUGUUCCAUUUUAUCUCAUAUUUCAUUCAUGCCACUGUAAAUUUCUGAAAAUGUUGUUACGUUAUUUUGCAUUUCAGGUGACGAUAUCUAUACUAAUAUUUUAAAGCUGAAGAGUUUGUUUGUUUGAACGCGCUAAUCUCCGAAACUACUGGUUCGAAUUGAAUAAUUCUUUUUGUGUUGUUUAUCGUGGAAGGCUAUAGGCUAUAUAACAUCACGCUGCGAACAAUAGGAGCGAAGAAACAGUGGUAAAUGUGUAAAAAACGAGGGAAAUUAUUUAUCUUUGAGGGCUUCCGUUCCUUGCGCUGCGAAAGCGGUUCAAGAUACACAAAAGUUAUGUAUGAAAGAAUUAUUUCUCUUUUAAUGAUCUAAAAAAAGUCCAUGACUACCGUUUUUGUGAUAAUUAAUUUGGUCGAAAUUAUUUGUUAGAGUUGUAUUAACAUAAUAAUAUUAAUUUUUCUAUAUUUAUUGUUAUUUUCUUCCUUCGCUGCAUGAAGUAUAAAACUAUUCAAAUUUUUGAGAAAAUGCCUCGGAAGCGAAAAUCUGGUAUAUCCAAAAUGGCAUGGUAGUUUUAUUGACUGGUGAUUUCCGUCAAACCCUCCCAGUGAUUCAGAGGGGGACACCAGCAGAAGAAAUUCAAGCGUGCAUUAAAUCAUCACGCUUAUGGUCAACAGUUGAAAAACUCCGCCUGAAAACUAAUAUGAGAGUGCAUCUUCAAAAUGACGUGGAUUUAGGACUUUACGCAGAAAUGUUGUUGAAAAUUGGAGAUGGUUGUUAAGCUGUUGACGUUGAAGGCUAUAUAUUACUGUCAAGAGAAUUUUGUAAUUUAGUAGAAAGUGAUGUGGAUUUCAUUGCUGAUGUUUUUCCGGAAUUGCAACAAAAUUUGUGUAGUGAUCAGUGGUUGUGUGCAAGAGCAAUAUUAGCACCAAGAAAUGAAAUUGUUAAUAGGAUCAACACUGAUAUUUUAAACGAGGUUCAAGGAAAACUGAAGGAAUAUUUGUCAAUGGAUACAAUUAUAGAUACGGAACUAAGUACUUCAUAUCCUGUGGAGUUUUUAAAUUCACUUGAACUGUAGGGUGUACCGUCACAUAAACUUCAAUUGAAACUAAAUAUACCAGUAAUGCUUAUGCGAAAUCUAGAUGCUCCUCUGCUAUGUAAUGGAACAAAGCUUCGGAUAACAAAAUUGGGACAGAACAUACUUGGUGCUACUAUUUUAACAGGUGUCGGGUUCAGUUUCCCGUCAAGCUUAGCUUUGCUGUUACUAUAAACAAGGCACAAGGACAAACAUUACUGGUAGCAGGAGUGCAUUUAGAAACUCCAUGCUUCUCUCAUGGUCCACUUUAUGUAGCCUGUUCACGUG